rnacentral:tRNA from 1 species
GGAGAGGUGACAGAGUGGCCGAUUGUGCAAGCCUGGAAAGUUUGUGUACUCGCAAGGGUACCGCGGGUUCGAAUCCCGCCCUCUCCG